CAGAGCCUCCUCUGUCAGCACUUGAGCCAACUUACUGAUGGCUGAACAACACCCCAGCUGCCAAGUAUCAGAUAAAAGCACACAUAAGGACCAUGCGCAUGCUCAGAAAAGAAUAGCAGGGACUGGUUAUAUAGCCAAAUUUGAAGAACUUGAUCUUCCCUGCUUGCACUGGUUGCAGUUUGGAAAUCUGGAAAUGGAUCUAUUGGAAUUUCAAGAAAGCUAUAGCUGCAAAAAUAAAUUCUAUGGCUUGUGUGCAACACUUGAGAAGACAGAGUGUGAAGUGAUGACAAAGGACAGCACAACUGAUAUACUUUUAAUUUCUUGGGAAUCUUUUAAGAAUCAUCAGGAGAGAUGCAUAAUAACUGAUCCCAUGAAAUACUGUGAAGUACUAGAGGAGACAAACCUAUAGUGGAAAAAAUAAGUGACUGCCUGUGGUCGGUGAGUAGAGCCUGACUGGAAGUGGCAGGAGGGUAGUGCUCUGUGUCCUGAUCGGAGUUGAGGCUCCCAGGUGCAUAUAUUUGUCUAAACUUAGCUAAUGUACAGUUGUGAUUUGAUACUUUGUAUUAACUUUUUAAAAAGCCUUUCACAAAGCCUUUGGAUUCUUC
rnacentral:lncRNA from 1 species